GGGAAUCUACCCGGAACUACGGAAUAACAUGAAGAAAUUUAUGCUAAUACCGUAUACGCCCUUUUGGGGAAAGAUUUAUUGGUUUCGGAUGAGCCCGCGUUGGAUUAGCUUGUUGGUAGGGUAAUGGCCUACCAAGGCGACGAUCCAUAGCUGGUCUGAGAGGAUGAUCAGCCACACUGGGACUGAGACACGGCCCAGACUCCUACGGGAGG
rnacentral:rRNA from 1 species